GGACGAACGGCUGGCGGCGUGCCUAAUACAUAGCAAGUCGAACGGUCUUUCUAUGGAAGCUUGCUUCCACUGAAAGAUAGUGGCGAACGGGUGAGUAACACGUGGGUAACCUGCCCAUAAGAGGGGGAGUAACAUCCGGAAACGGGUGCUAAUACCGCAUAGUUUUCUUGAUCGCAUGAUCGGGAAAGGAAAGACGGCCUUUGUGCUGUCGCUUAUGGAUGGACCCGCGGCGUAUUAGUUAGUUGGUGAGGUAACGGCUCACCAAGACGAUGAUACGUAGCCGACCUGAGAGGGUGAUCGGCCACAUUGGGACUGAGACACGGCCCAAACUCCUACGGGAGGCAGCAGUAGGGAAUCUUCCGCAAUGGACGAAAGUCUGACGGAGCAACGCCGCGUGAGUGAAAGAAGGUUUUCGGAUCGUAAAACUCUGUUGUCAGAGAAGAACAAGUUGGAGAGUAACUGCUCCAGCCUUGACGGUAUCUGACCAGAAAGCCACGGCUAACUACGUGCCAGCCGCCGC
rnacentral:rRNA from 1 species